CGCACUGGCCCAACUGAUUGAUGGUGCUUGCACCUGAUUGACGAUGGAUCACCAGUGAGUGGCGGACGGGUGAGUAACACGUAGGUAAUCUGCCCCGGAGCGGGGGAUAACAUUUGGAAACAGAUGCUAAUACCGCAUAACAACAAAAGCCACAUGGCUUUUGCUUGAAAGAUGGCUUUGGCUAUCACUCUGGGAUGGACCUGCGGUGCAUUAGCUAGUUGGUAAGGUAACGGCUUACCAAGGCGAUGAUGCAUAGCCGAGUUGAGAGACUGAUCGGCCACAAUGGAACUGAGACACGGUCCAUACUCCUACGGGAGGCAGCAGUAGGGAAUCUUCCACAAUGGGCGCAAGCCUGAUGGAGCAACACCGCGUGAGUGAAGAAGGGUUUCGGCUCGUAAAGCUCUGUUGUUGGAGAAGAACGUGCGUGAGAGUAACUGUUCACGCAGUGACGGUAUCCAACCAGAAAGUCACGGCUAACUACGUGCCAGCAGCCGCGGUAAUACGUAGGUGGCAAGCGUUAUCCGGAUUUAUUGGGCGUAAAGCGAGCGCAGGCGGUUGCUUAGGUCUGAUGUGAAAGCCUUCGGCUUAACCGAAGAAGUGCAUCGGAAACCGGGCGACUUGAGUGCAGAAGAGGACAGUGGAACUCCAUGUGUAGCGGUGGAAUGCGUAGAUAUAUGGAAGAACACCAGUGGCGAAGGCGGCUGUCUGGUCUGCAACUGACGCUGAGGCUCGAAAGCAUGGGUAGCGAACAGGAUUAGAUACCCUGGUAGUCCAUGCCGUAAACGAUGAGUGCUAAGGGGUGUUGGAGGGUUUCCGCCCUUCAGUGCCGGAGCUAACGCAUUAAGCACUCCGCCUGGGGAGUACGACCGCAAGGUUGAAACUCAAAGGAAUUGACGGGGGCCCGCACAAGCGGUGGAGCAUGUGGUUUAAUUCGAAGCUACGCGAAGAACCUUACCAGGUCUUGACAUCUUGCGCUAACCUUAGAGAUAAGGCGUUCCCUUCGGGGACGCAAUGACAGGUGGUGCAUGGUCGUCGUCAGCUCGUGUCGUGAGAUGUUGGGUUAAGUCCCGCAACGAGCGCAACCCUUGUUACUAGUUGCCAGCAUUAAGUUGGGCACUCUAGUGAGACUGCCGGUGACAAACCGGAGGAAGGUGGGGACGACGUCAGAUCAUCAUGCCCCUUAUGACCUGGGCUACACACGUGCUACAAUGGACGGUACAACGAGUCGCAAGCUCGCGAGAGUAAGCUAAUCUCUUAAAGCCGUUCUCAGUUCGGACUGUAGGCUGCAACUCGCCUACACGAAGUCGGAAUCGCUAGUAAUCGCGGAUCAGCAUGCCGCGGUGAAUACGUUCCCGGGCCUUGUACACACCGCCCGUCACACCAUGGGAGUUUGUAACGCCCAAAGUCGGUGGCCUAACCUUUAUGGAGGGAGCCGCCUAAGGCGGGACAGAUGACUGGGGUG
rnacentral:rRNA from 1 species